GACGAACGCUGGCGGCGUGCUUAACACAUGCAAGUCGAACGGAAAGGCCCUGCUUUUGUGGGGUGCUCGAGUGGCGAACGGGUGAGUAACACGUGAGUAACCUGCCCUUGACUUUGGGAUAACUUCAGGAAACUGGGGCUAAUACCGGAUAGGAGCUCCUGCUGCAUGGUGGGGGUUGGAAAGUUUCGGCGGUUGGGGAUGGACUCGCGGCUUAUCAGCUUGUUGGUGGGGUAGUGGCUUACCAAGGCUUUGACGGGUAGCCGGCCUGAGAGGGUGACCGGCGACAUUGGGACUGAGAGACGGCCCAGACUCGUACGGGAGGCAGCAGUGGGGAAUAUUGCACAAUGGGCGGAAGCCUGAUGCAGCAACGCCGCGUGCGGGAUGACGGCCUUCGGGUUGUAAACCGCUUUCGCCUGUGACGAAGCGUGAGUGACGGUAAUGGGUAAAGAAGCACCGGCUAACUACGUG
rnacentral:rRNA from 1 species